rnacentral:rRNA from 1 species
CAGCAGCCGCGGUAAUCCGAAGGGUGCAAGCGUUAAUCGGAAUUACUGGGCGUAAAGCGUGCGUAGGCGGUGAGUUAAGUCUGCUGUGAAAUCCCCGGGCUCAACCUGGGAACUGCGCUUGUGACUGCACAGCUAGAGUAUGGCAGAGGGGGGUGGAAUUCCACGUGUAGCAGUGAAAUGCGUAGAGAUGUGGAGGAACACCGGUGGCGAAGGCAGCCCCCUGGGCCAAUACUGACGCUCAUGCACGAAAGCGUGGGGAGCAAACAGGAUUAGAUACCCCCGUAGUCCCUGUCUCUUAUAC